GCCUCGUUAGCGCAGUAGGUAGCGCUUCAGUCUCUUAACCUGAUGGUUGUGAGUUCAAUCCUCACACGGGGAA